UGGGGCGCCGAUGUGGUCCCCGGGACAGGAGGCCGAAGUCCCGGCCGCGGGGGAGCCGGCGGGGCUGCUGCCCCCGGAAUGGGAGGAGGACGAGGAGCGCAUGUCCUUCCUCUUCUCCGCCUUCAAGAGGAGCCGCGAAGUCAACAGCACCGACUGGGACAGCAAGAUGGGCUUCUGGGCGCCGCUGGUGCUGAGCCGCAGCCGCCGCCAGGGGGCGGUGCGCCUGCGCCUGCGCGACCUGCAGGAAGCCUUCCAGCGCAAGGGCAGCGUCCCCUUGGGCUUGGCCACGGUACUGCAGGACCUGCUGCGCCGGGGAGAGUUGCAGCGGGAGUCCGACUUCAUGGCGAGCGUGGACAGCAGCUGGAUCUCCUGGGGGGUGGGUGUCUUCCUGCUGAAGCCCCUCAAGUGGACUCUGUCCAACGUACUGGGGGACAACAAGGUCCCUGCAGAGGAAGUCCUGGUGGCCGUGGAGCUGCUUAAGGAGAAGGCAGAGGAGGCGUAUCGCCUGUAUCUGAACUCCCCGCUCUCCUCCCACCCCGUGGUGGCCCUGUCCGAGCUGAGCACCCUCUGUGCGAGUUCCUGCCCGGACGAGAGAACUUUCUACCUGCUGCUGCUCCAGCUGCAGAAGGAGAAGAGGGUCACGGUCCUGGAACAGAACGGCGAGAAGAUCGUGAAGUUUGCCCGAGGUCUGCAUGCCAAGGUCUCCCCGGUAAACGAUGUAGACGUGGGGGUGUAUCAGCUGAUGCAGAGCGAGCGGCUGCUGUCACGCAAGGUGGAGUCCUUAUCCCAGGAAGCUGAGAGGUGUAAGGAAGAUGCCCGGAGGGCCUGCCGAGCCGGGAAGAAGCAGUUGGCGCUGAGGUGUCUAAAGUCCAAGCAGCGGACAGAGAAGCGCAUCGAGGCAUUGCAUGCCAAGCUGGACACAGUUCAAGGAAUCCUGGAUCGGAUCUACGCAUCCCAGACAGAUCAGAUGGUUUUCAAUGCCUAUCAGGCUGGCGUGGGAGCGCUGAAACUGUCUAUGAAAGAUGUCACAGUGGAGAAGGCCGAAAGCCUGGUGGAUCAGAUUCAAGAGCUGUGCGACACCCAGGACGAAGUGGUGCAAACCCUGGCAGGAGUGGGAAUCAAUGGCUUGGAUAUUGACAAUGAAGAAUUGGAGAAGGAACUGGACAUCCUCCUCCAGGACACCACCAAAGAACCCCUGGACCUGCCCGACGUCCCCCACAAGCCAGUUCCCCCUGCCGCCCUGCCUCUCCCCAACAUCUCCGAUGCCGAGCUGGAAGCCGAGCUGGAGAAGCUGUCCCUGCAGGGGGAAGAUUUGGUGCCAAGCAGCCCAUCACCCAAGAGGUUCCUGGAACCGACUCUCUAAUGCCCUCCCAGGACCCUCAGUGAAUGAGAGGCCGUGCGUGCGUGUCCGUGUACAUAUUUAUUUAAAAAAGAAACUCUCCAAAAUUUCGGAGGGAAAGGACUGCUCGGUCGCAGCAGACACAGCUACCACUUGCUCCAGGACGAUGGUCAUUUCAGGAAGCGACGCUCCGAAAGGCUUGCUCCUAGCCGGUGUCAACGGACCUCUCUGUCUGCUCAUCUUUAUAGUGCCACAAUCUAUACUGUCUGUGUUUUGACUUAUUGUCCCAUAUAGCCUUGCAGGCCUUGCCACUGGCCACUUAGGUUUGUCUUCACCCACCGACUCCCGUGAGGAGCUGGUUCCCAGCCAACCAAGUGUCAUUGCACCGAGUGGAGUGGCUCUCCCGGGCCCGGCUCACUCAGCAGACGAGACCGCUGCUGUUUCAUCUCUUCCCCCCUCCCCGUGGGGAGAGGACUUCUUGGCCUUUGAGACGGAGAGGUUUUGGUCCUAGGAAAGACAGUGUGAGCCUCACACGUUUCCCUCUUUACUGUGAAGUGCUUUCCUUCCUCCUCCUCCUCUAAGGUUAAACCAGCCAGCUGACACUCAGCGAGGGAGAGUUCAUUGCUUAGAUUUCGAAAGCAUCUCCCCUUGGAGGUCACUGCUCCAGCCGGGGAGCUGGGCCAGCCAGUGCAAUAGAAGCAGAGGGCUGGGGCCAGCUGAAAUGUUGGCGUCGGCCUCCGCUUCCCCCCAUUAAUCACCACAUCCACUACCUGCUGGAGCCCCGCCUGGCCCCCGCGUUCCUGCUGCCGCCUCCGCCCCUCGGUAAAUCCGUCAGGCAGGAGCCGGGGACGGGUUAGGGUCCGAAUGAGUGAGUCCCGAGAAGAUGACUGCCACGUUGCCACUUUUGCUGACAAAGCACAAGGAUCCUUACCUGAAGGUGUUCACCUUUAUCCCACCCGCCACGGGGCCUCAGGAUGCGAGAGGAAGGGGAAGGGGGCAGAGUUCGCUCUGGGGCAGGAGGGGAAAUCCAUUAGACUUCUCUCCUACACUACCUUAUCAACAGAAGGGUUGGGGUGAAGAGAAACAAUCACUGAUUUUUUUCUUUUCUAUCCGGUGUAUAAUUAAAAUAAUAAAACUGAA